rnacentral:rRNA from 1 species
AUACAGAGGCUGCGAGCGUUAAUCGGAAUUACUGGGCGUAAAGCGCGCGUAGGCGGCUUGGUCAGUCGGAUGUGAAAGCCCCGGGCUCAACCUGGGAAUGGCAUUCGAUACUGCCAGGCUAGAGUAUGGGAGAGGGAAGUGGAAUUUCCGGUGUAGCGGUGAAAUGCGUAGAUAUCGGAAGGAACACCAGUGGCGAAGGCGACUUCCUGGCCCAAUACUGACGCUGAGGUGCGAAAGCGUGGGGAGCGAACAGGAUUAGAUACCCUAGUAGUCC